UUUAGCCUCGCCUCCCGGAAGGGAGGGAGGGUGGUCUUUGCUGGACUUUGCCUUUCUUCCACACUUCGUGGGCUUCCUCAGAGUUCUUGCUCCGCUAAGUACCUGAUACACUCUCCUGCACCCCACCAGCGUGAUUAGGCUAUUUGAGUUCACAGCAAAAGCCCCCUGCGGCGUGGCGCGGUGCCUGCUCUCUAGUAGCCGCUAACUGGGAUGUGAAGGCAAACAAGAUGUCCUUAAAUAAAUGAAUGAAUAAACUGUAUACAUCCGGACAAUAGAAUAUUAUUCCAUGCUAAAAAGAAAUGAGCUAUCAAACCAUGAAAAAACAUAGAAGAACAUCAAAUUCAUAUUGACAAUUAGAAGCAAAUGAGGAAAAUACAGAGGUUUUUGAACCAAGCUUCCUAACUCCCAGGUCAGAGUAUUUUUCUAUUUUUAUCUGUUUCUCUACCACUUCUACUGCCCUCCCUGUAUGGUUAGUUUAUAGCUAUUUUUAGAGAAAUUUAACACCUAUCUCUCAGUUUAGUUUAUUCCAUUCUAAUUAUUUAGUACCAAGGAAUAACUACUUUAGUACCCAGUUACUUCAGUUAUAAUUGGUAUUAAACAAUGGAUUUUAACUUCUUAUUGUUCAUAAUGUAUUCAACCUAAGUUUAAUAGUGUGAUUUGAAGCCCUGUCAACAACACUGGUAUAUCCUAGAUGAAGGAAUAUCAUUGGUUUGUUCAAGUGUACAGUGAUUUUAGCUGCUAGCUAUGAUGGAAAAGCAUAAUAAGACUUAUUAAAUGACAACUGAAUAAAAUGUAAGACAUAACUAUUUUGAGACACUAGGGAACAAGAAGUACAAAACUUCCAUAGUCAGAGUACAAAAAAAUAGAAUCUUAAAAUUAUCCCUUUUCAAACCAAAGUCAUAAGAUAGGGAGGUGAAUCUGAUGCAGAAAAUGUGAAUUAUUAGAUAUCCAGAAGCCUGAGAUGGCUGGAAUUUCUAGGGUACACUAGCAUAGAGGAAGGAGCUGGAUGUAGAAAGCCCUCUGGAAAUUUGUAAAGAGUUCCCUUUGAGUCUGUUGAUGAAAACCAAUAUGUGUUUAUGUAAGAUGUCACUCCACAAGGUUAAGCUAACAAUGACCAGGAGUUAUGAUUCCCAGAGAACCCAAGGUCUGGGAGAUAUUUAAGUUCUGACCAACCAAAUGGAGAGGCAUUGUUGACUCUAUGGAACAUUUAGUAGAAACCUUAGAAGGCUGGCAUCUCAAUAAUAAAACUAAAUUUACCAUAAUACUUAUACAAAAGAAGAAAAGAAGGAACAAAUCUAGGCUAAACAUUCAAAAUUGAUUAGUAACUAUUUAAAAAGAAAAAUGCGACAUAACAAGAAGAAAAACCAGUCAUUAGAAACAGAUGUAGAAAUAGCAGAGAUGAGGGAAUUGUCAGUGAAUGACUAUAAAAUUAAUGAAUUUAUUUUAAAAUUUUAAUUAAUAAAUUUUAAUAAAUUUAUUUUAAAAUAAGCCCUAUGAUUUUAAAGAAAAAUAAACAUAAUGAACAGAUCAAUAGAGAAUAUCUUAGCAAAAACCAAAUAGUACUUUAAGAGCUGAAGAAUACAAUAUCUAAAAGGGAAAAUCCUCACUAGAGGUAUCCUACCCAAGUAGAAUGUCAGAUGAAAAGAUCAAUAAAUUUGAACACAACAAUAAAAAUUACCAUAAUUAAAGCAUAGAAAGAAAAGAUUGAGAAUGAACCAAACAUAAUGACCUGCAGACCAAAGCAUGCUGGUAAAUUUUUAAAACCGACUCUGGUGGGGAGAAAGAGCUUUGAUUUGUAGCCCUGUUUUUCACAGUAUAAAUAUUUCCACUGAAGAUGAUUUCAAGAUAGGACGAUGACAUCAAAAAACACAAAAUUUUCCAAAUUUGAUGAAAACUGACAGAUCCAAUAAGUUAAAAAAAUAUAUUCAAACAGAAUAAAGAGUAAAAAAAAAUGAAAAAAAAAAAAAACAAGGCCAAGGCUAACAGUGGAAUUUCUGAAUACCACUGAGUAAAAUGAUUAUUAUCUUAAAAUAGCCAAUUAAAAAAUAAACAUACACACAUACAUAUAUGGAUAAAAAGUUAUGACCAAAAGCAUACAUGUCAUAUGAAACAAAAAGGGCAGAAUCACCUCUUUAAGCUGCUAGUGAGGGUAGAGGUUAAGUGGUAGAAAUAUGAACCUAGAAUUCUAUAUCCAUUGGGAAGUUUCUAUGUUAGAAAUCUGGAAAAUAAGAUACUAACUUAAAAGGAGGAAGAAGAAAAAAGUAAAAAGUAUUGAAAUUAAUACAGUCGGGAUGAGCAAAUCAACAGCUUACAGGGAAAAAACUGGCUUGACACCUGUUUUAUAAAAUAGUUUUGUUUGAACAUAGUUCCACUCACUCAUUUACUUAUUGUCUAGUACUGUCAAUUCAAAUUGAAUGGCCCACAAACUUAAAAUAUUUA